ACUCCUACGGGAGGCAGCAGUAGGGAAUCUUCCACAAUGGACGCAAGUCUGAUGGAGCAACGCCGCGUGAGUGAAGAAGGUUUUCGGAUCGUAAAGCUCUGUUGUUGGUGAAGAAGGAUAGAGGUAGUAACUGGCCUUUAUUUGACGGUAAUCAACCAGAAAGUCACGGCUAACUACGUGCCAGCAGCCGCGGUAAUACGUAGGUGGCAAGCGUUGUCCGGAUUUAUUGGGCGUAAAGCGAGCGCAGGCGGAAAAAUAAGUCUAAUGUGAAAGCCCUCGGCUUAACCGAGGAACUGCAUCGGAAACUGUUUUUCUUGAGUGCAGAAGAGGAGAGUGGAACUCCAUGUGUAGCGGUGGAAUGCGUAGAUAUAUGGAAGAACACCAGUGGCGAAGGCGGCUCUCUGGUCUGCAACUGACGCUGAGGCUCGAAAGCAUGGGUAGCGAACAGGAUUAGAUACCCUGGUAGUC
rnacentral:rRNA from 1 species